rnacentral:rRNA from 1 species
GACGAACGCUGGCGGCGUGCCUAAUACAUGCAGGUAGAACGCUGAAGGAGGAGCUUGCUCUUCUGGAUGAGUUGCGAACGGGUGAGUAACGCGUAGGUAACCUGCCUGGUAGCGGGGGAUAACUAUUGGAAACGAUAGCUAAUACCGCAUAACAGUAGAUGUUGCAUGACAUUUACUUAAAAGGUGCAAUUGCAUCACUACCAGAUGGACCUGCGUUGUAUUAGCUAGUUGGUGGGGUAACGGCUCACCAAGGCGACGAUACAUAGCCGACCUGAGAAGGGGAUCAGCCAAACUGGGACUGGGACACGGCCCCGACUCCUACGGGAGGGAGCAGUAGGGAAACUUCGGGAAAGGACGGAAGGCUGACCGCAGAACGCCGCGUGAGGGAAGAAGGGUUUCGGAUCGUAAAGCUCUGUUGUAAGAGAAGAACGAGUGUGAGAGUGGAAAGUUCACACUGUGACGGUAUCUUAACAGAAAGGGACGGCUAACUACGUG